rnacentral:pre_miRNA from 1 species
UCUUGUGCAUGAAUGAAGAAAGUGGUGUCUUGAGAUGGAGUCUACUCUUGGUGAAGAUGCUGUGAA